rnacentral:lncRNA from 1 species
UGCCUCCCUACCCCUUUUGGCUGACUUUCCUCUGUCCUCACUGUUUGUUAGGCUCAUGAACAGUGGACAGAGCCAUUUGGAAUGGGAGGAGUCUGCUCCUUCAGACCUGGCCAGAGAAGCAAAGGGCUCUGGUUCACCACAGGCCCAGACAUCUGUGGGGGGAGCUCUGGGCAGGAACUCAGGCUCUAUGGGAACCCUGAGAAAAUCAGACUGAAAUCCUGCCCAGGGAAAGCUGCAGUUGUCCAAGGAGAGCUCCAUUUCAAUGCAUGUGAGUGAACCUGCCUGCAUAGAGUGGACCCACCCAGACAGGAAGGACCUCCAUGAGUCUGGAAAUACCGCACUCUUUCUUCCCUCUUCGCCCUGAUCUCUGCUGAGGUGAGUGUCCCCUAUUCUCCUGCUCACCUCCAGCCAUCACCCCUUCCUUCAAACCUUUCUGGGACUGCUACUGGC